AUCCAACUGACGAGUUCCAAACAAAAAGAAACGCGCGUCCUUGAU
rnacentral:hammerhead_ribozyme from 1 species